CAACAGGGAUUCCCUAGUAACGGCGAGUGAAGCGGGAACAGCUCAAAUUUGAAAUCUGGCCCUCGGGUCCGAGUUGUAAUUUGUAGAGGAUGCUUUUGGUGCGGUGCCUUCCGAGUUCCCUGGAACGGGACGCCUAGAGGGUGAGAGCCCCGUACGGUUGGACGCCUAGCCUCUGUAAAGCUCCUUCGACGAGUCGAGUAGUUUGGGAAUGCUGCUCUAAAUGGGAGGUAUAUUUCUUCUAAAGCUAAAUACUGGCCAGAGACCGAUAGCGCACAAGUAGAGUGAUCGAAAGAUGAAAAGCACUUUGAAAAGAGGGUUAAAUAGCACGUGAAAUUGUUGAAAGGGAAGCGUUUAUCACCAGACUUUUUCUAGGGGGAUCAUCCGGUGUUCUCACCGGUGCACUUCCCCUAGUUGAGGCCAGCAUCGGUUUUCGGAGGGGGAUAAAAGUUUCGGGAAUGUGACUCCCCCGGGAGUGUUAUAGCCCGUUACAUGAUACCCUUCUGGGGACCGAGGUUCGCGCAUCUGCAAGGAUGCUGGCAUAAUGGUGAUCAACGA
rnacentral:rRNA from 1 species